UACGUAGGGGGCAAGCGUUGUCCGGAUUUAUUGGGCGUAAAGAGCGUGUAGGCGGCUUGGUAGGUCCGCUGUGAAAACUCGAGGCUCAACCUCGAGAUGUCGGCGGAAACCACUUGGCUAGAGUCCGGAAGAGGAGAGUGGAAUUCCUGGUAUAGCGGUGAAAUGCGCAGAUAUCAGGAAGAACACCUAUGGCGAAGGCAGCUCUCUGGGACGGUACUGACGCUGAGACGCGAAAGCGUGGGGAGCGAACAGG
rnacentral:rRNA from 1 species